GGGCUCUGACCUGAGACCUCUGGGUUCUGAGCUGUGAUAUUGUUUCUGAGCUGGGAUCUCCGGGGUCUUGGUUCAGGGUCG
rfam:Heterocephalus glaber contig41963, whole genome shotgun sequence.